GAAAUGCGAUAAGUAAUGUGAAUUGCAGAAUUCAGUGAAUCAUCGAAUCUUUGAACGCACAUUGCGCCCUUUGGCAUUCCGAAGGGCAUGCCUGUUCGAGCGUCAUUACACCAAUCACGCCUGGCGUGGUAUUGGGCGACGGGGCCGUCACACGCCCCGCGCCCCAACGACCCCCCGGCGGGACGGACCGUAUCUCAGCGUUGUGCAUCACGUAUUCGCUGGCGAGACGGGACGGCCGAGCCGUUAAACGCCCCCCCUUCUUCAGGUUGACCUCGGAUCAGGUAGGGAUACCCGCUGAACUUAAGC
rnacentral:misc_RNA from 1 species